GUUUCCGUUUGUGGAUGGCGUGCGCAGGGACGCUCCAGGCGCUAGCGCCAGUUUUAUUCCGAAGUAUAGAUGUUAGAUAUUCUCGAACUCGUGAAGUGAAUCGUUGAAGUGUGAGCCACAACUCCAGUCGUGAACUUCGAGAUAUCGUUGCAAAAAGUGCGGAAUGUUGGACGCAGUGGCCAGCGCACGGACGACGCCGUGUUGUGCAUCGAUGUUCAAGUAUGACUGAGUGUCGACGAGGCAGUUAUGUGAAUAAAUUUCCAUCCCGUGGAGGGUCAAUGAAAACCAGUGCCACAUCACUGUUCACCAUCGUGGGGAAGAUGCCUUUGUGCAAGCUGUGCAGCUCUGCUGUGAAGAGCUGUUUUAACAUCACAGGACACCUACAUACACAUACAGGCGAGAAGCUAUACUGUUGUCAGCACUGUCUGCAUGCCUUUGGAGACCCAAGCAGACUUUGCAGCCUCACAGUUAAUCAUCAGUACUGACAGACAUUCAACUACUUCAGGGGUAGCUGGAAAAUUUAAAUGCAAGAUUAACUGCUGCAACAUAUGUGCAUGCAUGCAUAGACGAUAAUCCAGCCCAGGGAGCAAAACUAUGUGAAACAUUUUUUCACAGAUGUGUUCCGAUAUGACAAGUGGUACAUCAAAGAGAGAGAAGCCGUAUAAGUUCUCACAUUCUCCAGAAGUAUCGGAGUUGCUGGCUUCAAACGCAACAGCUGUUGCUGCUGAAUUCAAAUGCGAUCAUAGUUGGUUGGUUUAGUGGCAGCUCCCUUGCAGUCUGUGCUGCAGCCACACUGUUAGCUUUCACUGCCAGAUCACAAAAACUUCUAGCUGACCUACGUAGAGCAUGUAUAACAGGAUGUGAGAAACAAAAAUUCUGAAACACUGGUUAAAAAAAAUAGUCACAUAUAACUUGUUUUUAUUUGAUUGAGGGAUAUGCAUAGUAACAUCUAUAGCCAAUAAUCAUUGUUAAUGCAAGGAUGUGGGAUCGUUCCCCACCUGCGGGAAGUUGUUUCUUCAUCCACUUUCAUUGCCAGUAAUUUAUCAUUUCUUUAAUUCAGUUAGCUUGUACAAGUAAUUUCCCCUAUGUUUUCCUUGAUGUCUUUGUUGACUUCUCAUGAUAUACUUAGGAAUUUGGCCUAUUAAGAGAUCUGGCAGAUUUGAGCAUCCAUGGAAAAAUGCUAAAAUGUCUAGCAGACGUUAUAUCUGAUGAUAGAACAUUUCAAGUCCGUCUAGGAACAGUGUUAUUAUGCAAAUUCGUCCAGGAAGAAGGUGUGCCUCAGGGAUGUAUACUAAGUACAGCUUUGUUCGUUGUGAAAAUGAACUCCGUAAAUAGAAUAACUCCAUCUUCUCUCAUGCAUUCAUUAUACGUUAAUGGUCUCCAAAUUGCAUGCGAGGAUCAAACAUAGUAACCUGCAAACAAGGUCAAAUCACAUUAAAUAAACUUACAAAACGGGCAGCCAAAAACGGCUUUCGUUUCUCCACUGAAA